AAUUAAUGAACUUGUAUAAGUAUAUACUUUGAAAGUAUAAAAAAGAGAUUAUGACUCUCUAUUAAUUU
rnacentral:tRNA from 1 species